ACACCGUUAUUUUCAGUGAAAUCUAUUGUAAAAUGAUUUCUUUGAUACCUUGGCACACGUUUGUCCCCAAAAUUAGGAAAAUUGGGUGUUUUACAUUUACUGCAGCUCUGAAACAACAUUUUAAGGCGAUAACUUUACCAGUGUGCCCAACAAUGUGAUUCCGGCAUGGUGACUUAUCCCUUUGCAGCAAAUAAAGCAACAAAGACUAUUGAAAGCUUACUCUAAUUGUAUCCCACUUACAUUAGUUGGCACCGUUAUUGGUAAAUGUGCACAAGAAACCUUUUUGUUUCCUCAGAUUACACGGAAUCGAGCACCCGGGCCAGACUGACACUUUCCGGAGCCUGUCCGAGACGGAACGCGAGCCUAGGAUUCAUAGGUCCAGGUCCGGCUGAAGUGACAGGCCAUCAAAAACUGUACAGCAUGACUGAUUCGGAGACAGCCCUCAACACUCGCCCAGUCGUGUCGAGAGGAUCGGUGUCUUUGUAGAUUACACGGAAUCGAGCACCCGGGCCAGACUGACACUUUCCGGAGCCUGUCCGAGACGGAACGCGAGCCUAGGAUUCAUAGGUCCAGGUCCGGCUGAAGUGACAGGCCAUCAAAAACUGUACAGCAUGACUGAUUCGGAGACAGCCCUCAACACUCGCCCAGUCGUGUCGAGAGGAUCGGUGUCUUUGUAGAUUACACGGAAUCGAGCACCCGGGCCAGACUGACACUUUCCGGAGCCUGUCCGAGACGGAACGCGAGCCUAGGAUUCAUAGGUCCAGGUCCGGCUGAAGUGACAGGCCAUCAAAAACUGUACAGCAUGACUGAUUCGGAGACAGCCCUCAACACUCGCCCAGUCGUGUCGAGAGGAUCGGUGUCUUUGUAGAUUACACGGAAUCGAGCACCCGGGCCAGACUGACACUUUCCGGAGCCUGUCCGAGACGGAACGCGAGCCUAGGAUUCAUAGGUCCAGGUCCGGCUGAAGUGACAGGCCAUCAAAAACUGUACAGCAUGACUGAUUCGGAGACAGCCCUCAACACUCGCCCAGUCGUGUCGAGAGGAUCGGUGUCUUUGUAGAUUACACGGAAUCGAGCACCCGGGCCAGACUGACACUUUCCGGAGCCUGUCCGAGACGGAACGCGAGCCUAGGAUUCAUAGGUCCAGGUGUGGCAAAAGACUUAAAGCUCAUGUCUGACGAUCACUUUUUUUGAGUCAGGAAUUCAAGUGUGUUGUAUUUCCAUGCAAGCAAGCCCUUUUGUUGGGUGAAAUGACAUCAGAAAUGCUGCUUCUACAUGGAUUUUACCUAAAAUGUGCCCCCCCCCCCAAAAAAAGUUUGUUCGAAACCUGUUCAAAACCUGCUUUGAUGCACAAAUAUUGCCAUUGAUGAUUUUUGUCACUUCUUCAGUCAUCUGUUACAUCAACUUUGCCUAUUAGAAUCGAAAGUGAUGACUUGUAUGAAGUCUAAGUGCUGCAUGUAUGAUGAAACCAAGUUUGGCUUUUCUUCCAUAAUUCUUGACGCGAAACGCUGUUACGCAUGACGCUUUCAACGGCGACUUUUAUGAAUAAAUCUGUGUGUCAUUGUA